AAGCACCUACGUGGACAUGGAUGCUGCUGGGAAGGCCCCUCCCGUCUCAGCACAGGAUACAGGAAAUUACUCACAAACAGUUAACGAUGAUAUGCUAGAUGACUUCUUCAAUCAGGAAGGAUUUUCAUAUACAGGAUUGCUUCUUGGAACUAUGAAAAAAAAUGAAGUGAAUCAAAUAAGCGGUGACCAGG